CAGUAGCCGCGGGAAUACGUAGGUGGCAAGCGUUGUCCGGAAUUAUUGGGCGUAAAGGGCUCGCAGGCGGUUUCUUAAGUCUGAUGUGAAAGCCCCCGGCUCAACCGGGGAGGGUCAUUGGAAACUGGGAAACUUGAGUGCAGAGGAGGAGAGUGGAAUUCCACGUGUAGCGGUGAAAUGCGUAGAGAUGUGGAGGAACACCAGUGGCGAAGGCGACUCUCUGGCCUGUAACUGACGCUGAGGAGCGAAAGCGUGGGGAGCGAACAGGAUUAGAUACCCCUGUAGUCCCUGUCUCUUAUAC
rnacentral:rRNA from 1 species